GUCAGAGUGGGAGCUUGUCUCCAGGAGAGUUCACAGUUCUGACAACUUGUCACACAGGACACAGUGAAGCCGAGCUGAUGAUGCCCAUGGGCAGGGCCACACCUUGACCUGGACUGCGCAGUCGUGCCUCUUGCCUUCUAAAGGAACCUAUGUCAGGACCUGAAGACGGAUAUGGGGUGGGGAAACAGUGGACCUCUUUGUUCCUCUUCUAACAUGGCCACGGAAUCUACGCAUGCUACAGAGACACCUGUUCAUCUGCGUUUAUUAUUCACAAUAACCUGAAAAUGCAGCCAGCCUAGAUGUACACCCUCAGCCCCGGGAGAAGCAAGAUGCUAGGCUCCAUCCUGGAAGAACAAAAUAGUCUUUCCCAGACAAGGUAAGUGAACACUUUGACUUUUACCUUCCCUACAUGUAGAGAUGAGUAGAUAAAAUGUGAUACUUAUACACAAUGGAAUUUCCAUUCAGCUGUGAAAAAUUAAAUUGUGGCAUUUUCAGGAAAA